rnacentral:tRNA from 1 species
GGAGGUGCACGGGGUCUGGUGGCCCCCUCGUCUUCAAAACGAGUGGGACGGGCGAUCCCCGUCCGGUGGGUUCGAUUCCUGCCGCCUCCGC